GGGUCUCGACGUAGUCACCUCCUCGUUGGUGAGACCCGGUAAUUGGCAUCGGUUUUCGUUUUAUAUUAUUUGAUCAAAUUAUUAGAAAUAUCACAUUAAAAAUAUUGUAUUAAAACUAUAUUAGAAUGAUUAGUUUUUGAAAACUGAUGCCAAGCUAAGAACUACACUAGUUUUAAGUUUAAGUUUAAGUUUAAGUUUAAGUUUUUGUUAUUGUAUCUUUAACUUGUAAAAUUUUGAUUAUUUUGCAAGAAAUUUCGAAAAUUUAUAAUUCGCGACAUCAUUUAUUAUAAUUGAUUAUAAUCUAAAUUUUGAUAGCGAACAAUUAUAACGUAAUUUUUCCAAAUUAUUCAAAUAAUUUUCCAAAUUUUUCUAAAUAAUUCAUAAAAAUUUUUGAAUGUUAAAAAGUAUCUUAGAACUCAUAGCAGUAUUUUCUUAAACAAAUGUUUGAAACGAAAAAGAAAAAAAAGGAAAAAUAUCGAAUAUUUUACUUUUUUUUCCACCCUAUCCCUCCCUUAUUAUGCAAUUUUAUUUUCAGUAAAUUUUUGUUACCGCGCGCGAUCAGUAGAGUCAGUGUUUGCUUUCGUAAAAGUUUUUUUAAAUUCUUUAACGAAUAACGCGAAAUUAGAAUCAGUGUUUGUUCGCCGAAUUUAAUUUUUAACCGGUCGCGUUAAAAGACUACGCGUUUAGAGUCAGUGCUUCUCUCAAGAAAAUACGGCGGUCAUCCAUCACGCGAAGAGAUAUUUCCUAACAUCCCCCUGCCAAUAUUCUUCGCAUCUAAUGGUGAGUCGCAUGCAUUUAUGUUCCUCCGGUCACUCAAUCAUGUCGUAGGACGAAAGGUCCGAAUCGACACGAGUGAUUGGUUGUAUACGUAGAUUUUUGCAACGGGCAUAGUGACCACGGAUAUAUUUAUUAUAUCCGUGAGUAGUAACAUUUUCUGUGUUUUAUUUAUUAGCUCAGGCUAGAUCUUCUUGCACAUCGCGUUUCUCAAAUACUAAUAAACUAAAAAUUUUCUUUUCUUUUUUACAUUUCGCUUUAUAUUAUAAUAUAUUUUAAUUAUUCGAUUUUCAAUUUUCAACAAUCAUAUGAUACAAAAUAUAAAAUUUUAAAUUUUAGUUCCUUCGUAUACGAAAAUGUGUAAGAAGAUAUAUCGCGACAGGUAGAUUUCGGAAUCAAAACAAUAAUAUUGAACAUUGUGUUUCUAAUUUCUAAUUCGAAACUAUGUUUUGAUGAAGGAAUCGCCUGAGGUAUUAAUGUUAAUUAAUUAUUAAUGUUAACUUUAAUUUUUCAAUUCAAUUAGUUUAUUUUGCAUUUAGUAUUUCUUGUUGUAAAUAAAUUUCUUAUUUAUUUUUCUUUUGCUUUAUUAUUAUAUAGAUAUUAUAUAGAUAUAACUUUAAUAAAAUUAGAGUCAUUGAAUAAAAUUUAAAGUAAAAAUAGAUGAUGAAAUAAAGAAUAUUAGUCCGUUAGAGAAAAAAUAGAUAUUUAUAAUAUUUUUUUAGUUUAGGAUUUUCAGGUUUAACCCCUUCCGUGUCUAUUGCCACGAUCUCACUCACGUGCCCAGGUGUUACUUGGGUGAGAGAGAGGCAAUAGGCAUGAUGACUAUAGUUUAUAAGUUUUUAACGGCGACUGACGAUAAGUUAGUGAUCGUGCACGACGUAUUUUCCACAUUGUGUGUGUUUGCGAUUAGGCUGUGGAAUUGCGUCGUUACGAUUCUCAUUUUUAUUUAUUAUAUUAUCAAUUAUACGAUUUACAAUUUUGUUAAUAUUAUCAUAAAAUUAUAAAUUGUAAAUUGAUACCAAUUAUUAAAUUUUAGUAAUGCCAUUUUUAUUGAUAAUUAAAAUCGAGAUAGAUACGAUUUUUGUCGCGAUUCACGCAAUGAUCAUUAGCCAUCGUCAGUCGAUUUCAGGAAAAGGUACGUAAAUUUAGAGUGUGAAAGUAGUAUCAAACUCGGGUGUCGGAGGCGUCCCGGGACGUUCUCCCUAGUGUAGGCUUUUGCACCCGGGUGUAAUGUGUGAGAACCGUGGAGUGGGUGUGUUGGUGUGAUUGUUUUGCCAUUUUUAAAUAUAGCGCUAGGUAGGAUAGGUAGUAUACUUUCUGGUGUGCAUGUUAAUUAUAAGUAGGCAGGGCCGGGCAGGUUGUCACAGUCUCUGGUCGGGUAGGCGCGUUUUCGCGUGACAACCUGUUUCAGGAAAUACAAUUUGAAAAAUCGAGAGUGGAGCUGAGAUGAGUGAUCAUCGAUGACCACUCGUUUCUGGUUUUACUUAUAUCGAUUUUUCGAAUUUCGCGGUCGCGGUCGCGAAGUGGGCGAAACGAACGUGCGCUCGAGAUUCUGCGCAUGUGCGGACAAUGGUCAGUAAUGACUAUUGGUCGUCCAUGUGCACUCAGCUUUCGCGAUUUAGUCUAUUUUUUUUCUUUUUUUUUUUUUUGCGAUUAGGAAAUCUCGAGCCUAGAUUUAAGUUUCAGCGGGCAUCGCGCCCGAAGGAGGAAGACCGAAGAGGCCUCGACAAACUGUCACGAAGAGGGGCUGCAACGAAUGGUUUCUCAUUUUUUGGAUCUUGUCUGGAUCCAAAGAAUGGGAAGUCAUUGUUACUACUUUGUCACUAUGCUCGUUUUAGAAUCAGUAGUAGUAGUAGUAGUAGUAGUAGUAGUAUUUAUGGCCGAUGAGAAUUCCGGUCCAACGUACAAUCAUCAUGGGCAAAUGGGCAAUCGCGAUUUUUUAAUUAGUGUUGCGACAAAUAAAUUACGGUUUGCAUUAAAGUUGCGAAAUAAUGAUCGUGUUUGAUUUAGUGUUGCGUUUAAUGAGACAUCGCGAUUUUUUUUAAUAAUUUUAAUUUUAAUAAUACAAUUUUUUAUAAAAAGUAAUAUUAAAGAAUUUUACGUUUAUUUUAUUCCAAAUUUUAAUUAUAGAGAUAUUAGAUAUUAGAUUUCAAUUCAUUUGCAUUUGUAUUAAAUUCAUUUUAAGAAUUAGUGUUGCGUUGAAAAGUAAUCGCGUUUUUGAAAAUAGUGUUGCGUCAAAAAAUAAUCGCGUUUUUGAAAGUAGUGUUGCGCUAAGAAAUGAUCGCGUUUUUAAAAGUAGUGUUGCGUUUAUAAAAUGCCCAUGAUUCUUCCACUAAUAUUGUGGAAGUGAUCCUGUUUUGGGAUCAUAAAAUGCAGUUGCAAGAGCUGCAAAAAUGUGGUCCUACUUUUGGAUCACAAAGUGGGAAAACGGGCAAUCGCGAUUUUUUAAUUAGUGUUGCGACAAAUAAAUUACGGUUUGCAUUAGUGUUGCGAAUAACAAUCGCGUUUGCUUUAGUGUUGCGUUUUAUGAGACAUCGCGAUUUUUUUUUAAUAAUUUUAAUCAUUAUUAAAUUUAAUAAUAUAAUUUUUUUUAAAUAGUAGUAUUAAAAAAUUUUAUGUUUAUUUUAUUUUAUUUUAUUUUAGUUUUAAUUAGAGAUAUUAACUUUCAAUUCAUUUGCAUUUAUAUUAAAUUCAUUUUAAGAAUUAGUGUUGCGUUGAAAAAUAAUCGCGUUUUUGAAAAUAGUGUUGCGCUAUAAAAUGAUCGCGUUUUUGAAAGUAGUGUUGCGUUUAUAAAAUGCCCAUAUUCUUCCACUAACAUUGUGGAAAUGAUCCUGUUUUUGGAUCACAAGUGUGGUCCUUAUAGCCUUUUUUGGCUAUAAUUUUUUUUCAGCGCCCCUAAUUAUUACAGCAUUUGUUAAUGAAAAUACUGCUAAAAAAUUUAUUCAUUUGAAUUUUAAACUCUCGUACUAUUACAUAAAAUUGUUUGCAUUAUGCAAUAAGAACAUUAAUUUAUUUAAUAUUAUAAAUUAAUAUUCUUAUUACGAUAUAUUGAUACAAACAGUUGAUUUAUUUGGAACAAAUGACAAAUAAUUAUUCGUUGUCAAAAUUAAAAUUAAAUUUUUCUACUAUUUCCCUAAAAUUAAAUAAAAUUUGUUAGUAUUUUUGCAUUUUUAAUUAUGAAACAAUUGAAUAAAUAUUCGGAAUUCCUGCGUGAAAUAUCAAAAUAAAAUUUCUAAUUUAUUCUAUAUGUAAUUUUUAAGAUAUCUUCGAUUAAAUUUAAACUUAAAUUUAAGAUUUAAAUAAAUUUUAAGUCUUAAAUUUAAGUCUUAGAUUUAAGUUUAAUGUAAGAUAGACAUUUAAAUUAAGUCUUAAAUUUAAGUCUUAGGUUUAAGUUUAAUGUAAAAUAGACAUUUAAAUUAAGUUUAUUGUAAGCACAUUUCGUAAGAUGAUACGCUCCUUAACAUAAAAUCAACUCUAUAUAUACAAACAUUCAUUCAUAAAUAUUUUCAAUCCCUUUACUUUUUUUCUUUUUCUAUUUCUUUUUUUUUUUACUUUGUUAAAUAAGAGCGUAUCUUUAGUACGGAUGAUGCCAGUAGGAUAUAUAAAUCAUAGAUUUAAGAUGUAGUAUUAAGAAUAUAGAUUAAGUUAGAUGAACGAUGAUAGAUAAUUUAUUUACCAAUUGUAUCACAUUUCUUUUCUAUGUACAAGAUCUGAUUUGUAGAUAAUUAAUUGUAUUAUUUAAUGUACUGGUCACUUUGUUCAAUAAAUUCAACCUGAUGGGUCUCGAUGCGUAGUCACCUCCCCGUGGGUGAGACCCGGUAAUUGGCAUCGCUUUUCAUACUUUUCAUUUAAAAAGAUAUCUUCAUUUCCAUUCGAAAAUUUUUCGAAAAGCGAUGGCAAGCCAAGAACUACGCACACCUUCAAUCUAGUCUAAAAUGAUUACUUUAAAUUAUUUUGAUCAAUUAACAAUGGAUUAGACUGAAGGUACUAAUAAAGUCUUUUACAUUCGAUGUAAAUGACAAGAUGCGCGCAUCUUAGAUUUAGGUCCUAGUUUUAAGUAUAGUAUAAGAUAGGUUUAAGAUUUAGAAUUAAGAUUUAAUUUUACUAUAUUCAUCAUAAUUUAUUAUAUUUCGAUAAGAUGCGUACGUUUUAGAUGCAAGCAUUAAGUAUAAAAUAAGAUAGAUUUAAGAUUUAGUAUUAAAACUUAGAUUUUUAUUAUAAUUGAUUAUACUCGAUGUAAAUGAUAAGAUGCAUGCAUCUUAGAUUUAGGUUCUAGUUUUUUGAAUAAUGUAAGAUAGAUAUAAGAUGUAAGAUAUAUAUAAGAUAUAUAUAUAAAAUAGACCUAAGAUUUAGUAUUAAGAUCUAGUAUAAGUUAAAUUUAGGAUUUCAUCGAUGGACAUCGCUGGACAUCGCUGGACAUCGUUGGACGACAUUGGACGUCAGUGGACGACAUUGGACGACAUUGGACGACAUUAGACGACAUUAGACAAUGUGGGAUCACGAUGAUUAACAUAGCAUAAUGAUUACAAUUUCCUUUUUAUAAUUUCUUAUAUUCGAUGUAUCGAUGGAUAUCAAAUGAUAUGGUUGGACAUCGUUGGACAUCGUUGGACAUCGCAUGAUAUCGUUGGAGAUCGUUGGAUAUUGUUGGACGUCGUUGCAUGUCUAUUGAUAUCGUUGGAUAAAAAAAUGUAAUUUCCUUUUUCUGAUUUCUUAUAUACGAUAUAUCAAUGAACAUCGUUGGACGGCGUUGGAUCACGAUAAUCAACAUACGAUAUAGUUUUUAAUAUUAUUAGAUUUCUUUAUUAUAUUUUGUUAUAUUCGAUGUAUCGAUGGACAACGAGGGACAUCGAUGGACGACGUUGGACGAUGAUUAAUCACGAUAAUCAGCAUACAACAUAAAUUUUAAUUUCUUUCAUUAUAAUAUCAUAUAUUUGAUGUAACGAUGGAAAAUAAUGGGCAUAGAUAAAUAACGUAGGACAAUAUUGUAUCACGAUAAUCAAUAUAGGAUACUCAUUGUAGGAUUUUAAUUUCUUUUUUAUAAUUUCUUAUAUUUAAUGUAACGAUAGUCAAUGUUGGACGGCGUUGGAUCACGAUAAUCAACAUGCGAUAUAUUUUUAAUAUUAUUAGAUUUCUUAAUUAUAAUUUGUUAUAUUCGAUGUAUCGAUGGACAACGAUGGACAUCGAUCAACGACGUUGGACGAUAUUUGAUCACGAUAAUCAGUAUACGACAUAGAUUCUAAUUUCUUUUUUUAUAAUUUCUUACAUUCGACGUAACGAUGGACAAUUUUGGACGGCGUUGGAUUAUGGUAAUCAACAUAAGAUAUAGCUUUUAAAAUGAUUAGAUUUCUUCAUUAUAAUUUGUUAUAUUCGACGUAAAUCAUAAGAUGCAUGCAUCUUAAAUUUAGGUCCUACUUUUUUGAAUAAUAUAAGAUAGAUGUAAGAUAAAUAAAAGAUAGACGUAAGAUAAAUGUAAAAUAGAUGUAUGAUAGAUGUAAGAUUUAGUAUUAGAUAUAAUAGAUGUAAGAUUAUAGAUCUAGUAUAAGUUAAACUUAAGUCUUCAACGAUGGACGACGUUGGACGACGAUGGACGAUGUUGGACGACAAUGGAUAAAUCAUUUACCAAUUGUAUCAUAUUUCUUUUCUACCUUUAAGAUUUAGUUUAUAUAUAAUUAAUUGUAUCAUUUAAUGUAUUAGUCACUUUGUUCAAUAAAUUCAACCUGAU